CCUACGGGAGGCAGCAGUGGGGAAUAUUGGACAAUGGGCGAAAGCCUGAUCCAGCCAUGCCGCGUGUGUGAAGAAGGCCUUCGGGUUGUAAAGCACUUUCAGUGGGGAAGAAAGCCUUGGGGCUAAUACCCUCGAGGAAGGACAUCACCCACAGAAGAAGCACCGGCUAACUCCGUGCCAGCAGCCGCGGUAAUACGGAGGGUGCGAGCGUUAAUCGGAAUUACUGGGCGUAAAGCGCGCGUAGGCGGUCUGAUAAGCCGGUUGUGAAAGCCCCGGGCUCAACCUGGGAACGGCAUCCGGAACUGUCAGGCUAGAGUGCAGGAGAGGAAGGUAGAAUUCCCGGUGUAGCGGUGAAAUGCGUAGAGAUCGGGAGGAAUACCAGUGGCGAAGGCGGCCUUCUGGUCUGACACUGACGCUGAGGUGCGAAAGCGUGGGUAGCAAACAGGAUUAGAUACCCCGGUAGUC
rnacentral:rRNA from 1 species